GUGUCGGAGAGAAGUUGUUAAGCAAGCUGCCUGGGAAGUACGAUCGCAAGAUUGAAACUUAAAGGAAUUGGCGGGGGAGCACAGCAACGGGUGGAGCGUGCGGUUUAAUUGGAUUCAACGCCGGAAAACUCACCGGAGGCGACGGUAACAUGAAGGCCAGGCUGAUGACCUUGCUUGAUUUUCCGAGAGGUGGUGCAUGGCCGCCGUCAGUUCGUACCGUAAGGCGUUCUGUUAAGUCAGAUAACGAACGAGACCCUCAUCUUUAAUUGCAACUAUUAAGUCCGCUUAAUAGGCACAUUAAAGAAACCGCUGGCGAUAAGUCAGAGGAAGGCGAGGGCAACGGUAGGUCAGUAUGCCCUGAAUCCUCCGGGCUACACGCGCGCUACAAAGGCUAGGACAAUGAGCUUCGACACCGAGAGGUGAAGGUAAUCUCGAAACCUAGUCAUAGUUCGGAUUGAGGGUUGAAACUCACCCUCAUGAAGCUGGAAUCCGUAGUAAUCGCAGAUCAACAUCCUGCGGUGAAUAUGCCCCUGCUCCUUGCACACACCGCCCGUCAAACCAUGCGAG
rnacentral:rRNA from 1 species